rnacentral:snRNA from 1 species
GGAUGUGAGGGUGAUCUGGCUGCAGCACCUGUCACCCUGUUGAUCACCAGGGUUGAUCUGGCUGAUCUGGCUGGCUAGGCAGGUGUCCCUUUCCUCUCUUACUGCUUUUGUACAUCCCUCUUGAAGCUGCACACUUGGUUGAAGAGGAGACAGCCUUCUCUGAAUAGAGACGACUGGUCUUGGGUAUAUGAGUAGCUGCACUCCCCUGCUAGAACCUCCAAACAAGCUCUCAAGAUAGAAUUUAAAAUCAUUAAAAUACAACAAAAACUGUAGUUU